AUGGACUAGAAAAAAGAUAUCUCUUAUAUGUUUUUAGAGAAUUCGGUGUAUGAAUAGAGAUAUUUCAUUGUUAAGAUUGUGAGGCUUGUUUUACAGGAGAUCUAUUGGGUCUCAUGCAAGUCUAGCUGGGCUUAGAGGGGGAUUUACCUAUAAGGGAUGAGUUAUCAAGAUAGGAAAUUAUGGCAUUGGGAAACUUCCUCCUGAGAUCUUGUAAUUUGGCCAAGUAAACGGCAUUGUGGGUGCUGGUUUGAUCGUGUGCACUCUUCACACAGCCCAUGUCGUCUAUGUCAUCUUCAGGGGCUAGUGAUGUCCAGCGGCAAGCAUCAUGUGGAAGGCAAACCUUGGACAACAACGAAUGUGACCUUUGCUCGGCAGUGCCUGCAAAAUUUAUUAAAUAAAUUGAGUUCCAGAUAAUGAGAAAGCAAGAGAAACACAUAUGGCAAUUGAAAUUGGAUUAUCAGCUGUGGAAAUGCAUUGACGCUACUGAUUGCAACUUUUCGAAUUGUAUCACCAGAUACAGAAGAUCCAUUAAUAUAUGCGUGGUCGUUAACUCAAAUUUACCAACCCAGAUCAAUGCAUCUUUUGGUGUUGCUCUGCACUCAGGCCCUGAAGACACUGACCCUUUGCAUUCCUGCUUCUCCAAGAACUCAUUGAACCAAAUGAUCUUCAGAUAGACUCAGGAGUAAUGUCAAGGGUAAGAUUGUUCUUAGAAGAGAAGGCAUGAUUUAUAGCUGUGGAGCCAGCGACAGCAAAGUUCAUCCCAUAAGUUGCAUUGCGGUUGAGGUAUUGGAUUAUCUGUUUGUGGAAUGGUGAAAGAAGGUGCUG
rnacentral:misc_RNA from 1 species